rnacentral:rRNA from 1 species
UACGAAGGGGGCUAGCGUUGCUCGGAAUCACUGGGCGUAAAGGGAGCGCAGGCGGACUGGUAAGUCAGUGGUGAAAGCCCUGGGCUCAACCCGGGAACUGCCAUUGAUACUAUCAGUCUUGAAUAUCGUUGAGGUUUGCGGAAUGGGUCAUGUAGCGGUGAAAUGCAUAGAUAUGACCCGGAACACCUAUUGCGAAGGCAGCAGGCUAAGCGAAGAUUGACGCUGAGGCUCGAAAGCGUGGGGAGCAAACAGG